GACGAACGCUGGCGGCGUGCUUAACACAUGCAAGUCGAACGAAGUGGCGAACGGGUGAGUAACGCGUAAUCAACCUGCCCUUCAGAGGGGGACAACAGUUGGAAACGACUGCUAAUACCGCAUACUGAAGGAGGGGAUUGCGUCUGAUUAGCUAGUUGGAGGGGUAACGGCCCAACAAGGCGAUGAUCACUAGCCGGUCUGAGAGGGUUAACUGCCACAUGUGGACUGGGACCCGGCCCAGAAGCCUACGGGAGGCAGCAGUGGGGAAUCUUCCGCAAUGGACGAAAGUCUGACGGAGCAACGCCGCGUGGGUGAUGACGUCCUUCGGGUUGUAAAGCUAUGUUAAUCGGGACGCGGUACCGGAAUAGAAAGCCACGGCUAACUACGUGCCAGCAGCCGCGGUAAUAC
rnacentral:rRNA from 1 species